UCUGAUCUGCAGCCAAAACAUGAAAACCAAACACAAUGGGAAUUCUCCUGAACUUGACUUGCCUUAGCUUUGUCUUUUGUAAUUCCAAAAAACUCUGUCUUUGAUACCUGAGGGAGAGUUUCCAUCCUUUUAGUGACAUGCCUUGCUGUGUAAUUAUGUGGAAAAAAUAGUGUCUCAGGGCAUAAUUAAGCUGCCAGUCUGAAGCGACAUACUGAGCUGUUAUACAGGCUGCAGGAUUUUUCUCCAGUUAUCCACAGGUCUGUCAUCACACCAAACCACCUGCUUCUUCACAUUCAGUCAAGGAUUUUGCAAAUGGAAAAGAUGAACUGCGCACUUUUGGAUCUAAUAAAGAAACAUGGAAUUUUUCCAAAAUCUUCCUGAGUUUUGAACAAAACGUGCAUCAGAGCCAUCAAAUUUGAUCUCUGAUUUCAUUAUGACAUCAUUAUCUUACAUAGAGUUGAUUUAUAAUUCUUGCAUGGUUAAUGUGUAGACUAAAUGAUAUUUAGACAAACCUAAAAUAAAAAAAUAAUAUUAAAAAGUCUGAUGCAAAAAAGAAUGUAAAAAUGGCCGCUAACCAUAUAAUUUCAAAUCAACCAACAACAGUCUAAACUGUCCAUACAGUCCAAUGUGAGGACAUGUCACAUGACAUUUUUCUCAUUUGGACAUCACUUUGAAUAAACAGAAAGCCAGUUUUUAAAAAUCUUAAAUUUAGUUUAUGGCAGUAUCCUCUUCCCACAACACACACACAGCAUACCAGCACUUUCAUCUGUAACUUUUAUUGUAAUCUGAGACUGGCAUAUGAGAGAAAUUAACAGUUUUAAGGUGGAUUACAAGACAUGACCAUAUCCCAGAGCCUAAACAGUGAUCAUAUUGCUGCAGGGCUGCAUAAUGCCUGGACAGCACAGGGCUACAGUUUACUGCGAACCAGAACAAUGUGUUCCCUCAAUCAAUAUCAGUACUCCAUUCAAGAGCAGCUACCCUCAUCCCAAAUGUGCAUCUGACAAAAUGAGCUCCUUCAGUCCCUGCAGGUUUUAGUUAAUGCUAUACAUUAUUACAACAUUCUGCUGUUAAACCAACACCGUAACACACAGUAGGACAUUACUGAGCAUCAUGAUGGUGGCCUGAUUGAUUGCAGUGGACUCAAUGUUAGGCCUUGUUUCAGCGGUUACAGACUAAUGCUAUGGUAUUAUUGUCCAAGAGUAUAAGGAGAAUUUGAUGGCCUCUCUGAUGUUAAUAACAAUGUAGUCAGCAGCCAUGCAGGAGUCUGGCCUCCUGGUCUGUUAUUUCACUGUCUGGUCAACGCGACUAGCUAUAAAUGUGUGGGUACAACGCCACAAAAGAUACAAUCACUUAAACUCAGCCUAAGCUUAUCAUAAAACCGACAUUUUCAAUCUGAAUAUACCGACUGAUCUCAUUCAAUGGAGGCGGCAACAGCUGCCCUGUGCUAACGUUAAACAAUGGUAGCUAACGUUAGCUGAUGUUACCACAAAGCUCGGUGUGUCCACUCCCCCCCAUUGUAACAAGUAGCUACAAACUAAAAUAUCAAGAUGAGAAAGAGACUCAGCUGUGAUUUGAAACUACAUUGUGAGUAAUUUCAAACCAAGCCGUUAACGUUGUGGGAAAGCUUUUGUUACUAAAAAGAUAACUUAGCAACGAUUGCUAACGUAACGUUGCCGUUACUGAGACAACGCGGUGGAUAACGUUAGAGUAUGCAGGUUUAGAUUUUGGUGAGUAACGUUACGCCCCAUAUGUGACUAUCACUUGAAAAUACCACAAAGCACGUGGUUUGUUGUAACGUUUAGAUUCGUAAAAAAAUAAGGCAUAAGUAAAAUAUACUGUAGCGUUAAAAAGUGGCGACGAUAGCCGCAACGUUAGACCGUGUUCAGCCGCACUGGCUCGGCAGCUGUGUCGGGGCUGGUCCCGUCUCAACAGCGGCUGACACAGCAACGUCAAGGGGUUUGGAGCCUGUCCCCCCACUAUGCACUGACAGAGACCGGGGAAACACCAUGGACAGUUUCCAAGACUGCCACAGGGAUUAUUAAGGGCUCAGGACAGUUUUUAACUCCUUUACAGUUCGAGUGACACUCCGGCUCUCCCUGUCUCCACCCACCCACUCUCCCCUGGUGUUCAGCGGUUGCUCCUGCUGACCUAGAGGCCUGAUUGGCUGCCCAGUUUGGGG